UGCAGCAGAGCAGCUCGUGUCUGGAGCUCGCGUCUGAGUCUGAAUAUUCAAAUAAAAUCUCAUGAGCUCUUGGGAUUGAAUCGUGUUUCUAACUCGCUGCGAUGGUUUCAAAGCUCCCGAGCAGGCUGCAGUACUUAAAGCAACCAAUCGGGGGCGUCCCUGCUUCACCACAGUCAGACUGGAGAAAAGGCAGGUUAAAAAAGACCACGUUCAUCCUUUUGUUUCCACAUGGAGCCAAACACCAGCAUGUCCGCAGUCUUUUGCAGCACUGCAGCGGAUGAGGAUUUAAUGAGAGUAUAGCUUCACUGCAGCUUCACUAGGACCUCAGGGCCAUGAGAAGCACCUGCUCCCUGAUCUGCUGCUUGGAGUAAGGGCAGCGCUUCUUCCUCUUCACAGAGGACUCUGCUGGAGAAAAGGUGAAAAAGAUGAAACAUGCAUUAGGAAGAAAACAGAUAGUGGAUGCAGAAGAGAAAUAUUGGUCCAUGAAUUGAUAGAAAAAAACAUUAAAUAUGUCCAGAAAGCCAAAAUCUCGUCAUCAGGGGAAAAGGGGACAAGGCCCAUCUCCUCCAAACAUCCAACAAGAGAUGAGCAACAACUUUAAAACUGACCUACAAGAAUAAACUCACUGAUUUGAAUUAAAUUAAAUUAAUUUAAACAUUUGAUUUGAGGUGAAUGUCAAGGUCUGAGUCAAAACGAUAAGUCCAGGAAACAUGACCUUCAUGUUGUGCAACUGUGAAGCUAGAGGUCAUCGUAUCGUCUUCAUAUUUUCAUGCAUUUGUAGAUGUUCAGCUCAUAAGUUAUGGAGGAGAAACACAUGCAUCCGUGCAAAACAAAAUUAAAACCGGCAGAAAAGUGGCAGACUGGGUGAUUUAAUCGUAGAAAUCGAUUCGACGAGAUUAGCAGCAGCUGAUUACCAAUGCUAGCUUUUGCAUGACUC